ACAUUUUAGCUUGCUUGUUGCUGGGGAAAAGACUUGCUGCUUUGUGUUUCAUUUGAUGAAGAUGUCUCAAUAGAACCUCUUGGAGGAACAGACCAGCCUCAAAGAUAUAUGGGAAGGCACAACACCAAAAUGAUGCUGCAGGAUGGGUCCAGAAAGGAUGCCACCAUUGUGACCACUGGGCACAGACACCACAAAUUGUCCCAUUGAUCCUGGACAUGGAUGCUGAACUGCUGCCAUCACUGCCCCUGAAAGUCAUUGCUUCUGCCAUCAUUUUCUUUAGAGACUGCUUCCAUAAGUCAGGAUUCCAGUCACAGCUUAGCUGGAUCCUCUCAGAAGGCUACGAUCAAGGUGUCAGCCAGACUGAGUUCUCAUCAGAGGCUCGACUAGGAGAGGAUCUGCUUCCAAGUUCCCUCAGGUUGUUGGAAGGAUUCAUUUUCUUGUGGCUAAGCUCACAGGAGCUUUCUUCUUCAAGGGCAUCAGGAGAGUGGAGAGCGAGUCUACUCAAAGACUUCUAUACAAAUCAUAAGACAUCAAGUACUCUUCAACUGCCUAUUGGGAGACAAUUUCCACAGCUCUCUCAUGUUUCUGCACAACUUGUAAGCAAGACAAGACUCUCUUAUCUUCUGGACUCUAUUUUCAAGAAUACUCAUAUAGUGAACAGUGUCUUCUUCCUGAGCGAAGGGCAUAAAUGCUACUUUCCAUUUUAAAAGAUUCAAGUUCCCUAAGCUCGGAAUUCUUCUGUAAUGCAACCCAUUGUGUGUGCAGGUAUCACCUGGCAUUCUUCCCAUUACCCUGUGGGAAUUGGAGCUCAGGGAACCUUCAUAGAAAUUCUGAUAGUCUAGCUACUGCUAUUUCUAUGAGUAAUAAAUUGUUUCUGACCUAGAAGUCUUGUGUCUUCUGCUGGCACCCAUGAAAUUAUGAGGCUAAAUUGUUAGAUUACAAGUGAGGUAAAAUCUUGGACGCUUCCCAGUUCUUGACACUGACUAAAAUACAUGCAUAUUCGUUUUAUCAAGUCAGUUUGAAAAAAAAUCUAUGAAUUAAAAUAAUUACAAAAUUCUAAGGACUGAAUUUGUAAUAUAUUGGAUGAACAAAACCCUCUACCUUGGUUCUGAAAUUCUUGAUAGUUGAGAUAUGUGUAACAUUUGUAAUUUGAAAUACACAAGUAAUUCUCUAUUUAAAAGGUCAUAUAUCCAAAGUAUUGAAAAAUCUAGAAUACAUUAAACUUUAGCUAUCCAUGGUGAAA
rnacentral:lncRNA from 1 species